UAAAUAUUAGAGCACGAUUAGCAAAUGGUAUGGUAAUUUAAACUAAAUUAGCUACUUCAGGCGUAUGAGAAAACUUCAUGAGAAUAAAUUCACGUAUAAAAUCUAAAUUUAUUCCAACACAAGUGUUUCGUCAGAAAAAUGUGAAUUUUCCGUAAUUUUUAUAAAAAACUAAUAGUCCCCUUGCGUUUUUACGGUUAGAAACUUGCCAACAAGAAUUCAGAGUACAAGAAUGCGCGAAUCGUUCGUGCAAACACACGUAAUCUUAUCACUCGCUCGGUGGCAAUUAAAUAUUUCGUAAAAUCUGCAUUAACCCAUUUUACGGUUUUUCUUUCUCAAAAACAAAAAGAUUUAGUAGCCACUGAAACGAAAUAUUUUUACAGGAAAAAUAUAGGUCGAUACAAUUUUUUCGUAAAAAAUGAACUCCGUCAUACUAAAAGUCUAUAUCGGUAAAUUCCUCGUUAUUGCAGUACCACGGCGUGACUCUUCUCGUGCAGGUAAACAUCUGUUUCUCUUUUAUUCUACAUUCUGGCAAAGCUAUAACUGUACGGCAUGGCAUCAGGGUCCAUUCAUUGGCACGCGGCAAGAAGGAGAAUGAACUGCGAUUACAAUAGCACGUGAAUAAACCACAAAUAUAUGUAUAUGUACUAGAAUACGCUUAACUAACCUAUAUAUCUUAUUGCAAGUGUUAAAGAGAAUGUCGCAAAGCACAUAGAUAUAAAAUAACGUAGCAGCAGCGUAGUAAACAUUAAGACAGCAAAGAACAUAGACAAUUUUUCAAACAAAAUAAAAAGGUUUCUCCGCGCAUAUACCAUGUGUAACUAUUUAUGUGUCAUCCAAAAAACCAUAAAUCCAUUGUUAUUAAUGUUACAAUUACUUUUAACAGUGUCAAUACAAAGAGUGACAAUACAAUACGACUAUGGUGCCACCACUGUCGCCGUCUCUCUUCCACUGAACUAAACGUCUCUCCCUCGCAAUCGCAGAAAGUAUAGUGACUUCCAGAAAAACGAAGGCGUGACCUCCUCUUCGCGCAUUUAUAAUAGCAAAAGACAGACGUACAAGGAUCAGCAUUACGCGAUCAAUACCGAUUCCAAUUUAUAAAUAGGAAAUGCGCCCCUGUAAGUAAGGAUAUAAAAAACAAUAGCUUAAGUACAUGGCACUAUAUAGCAUCGUAGUAAACAGGAUCGCGAAGAAAAGGCCAAUAGGACGCCUUGAUAUAAACGAGAUCCAGAGACUACUGGGUACAUCCAGUGCGCCGUAGAGCUUGAUCGAUUUUAUUAAUCGAGCGACGCGCGCAAUAAUAAUAUUAAAGUCAAUUGAAAAAUAAAGUUCUCACGUAUACGUGACACCGAGAGUACUACGAGAUAUUCUUGAGACAUCCUUUACAUUAAGAAGGCUCCAAGAGGACGACCUAUAAUCCCCUUAUCGAUUAGGUCACACCGACCAGAAUCCAUCCUUUGAAUUAUUCGAAGCCAAGCAUACAACACUUACAUAACAUGCUCUUCGUAUAUUACGCAACUUUGUUUAUUAUGAAAAUCGUGCGUCUAAUUUAUAAACUUCUUAGCGGCUUUAUAAAAGCACUGGCACCCAUACGCGUUCUUACGUCCCAGAGUAUAUUUGACUCAGUCCGGUGAAGUGCAAGGUACAAGGGGACUCUGUAACAUCGAAGGUCGUAAGAAGAUGGCCCGUCAAAAAUUCAUUACGCUAGUGAACGGACUAUCGGACGCUUAUGACUGCUACUGUUCCUAGAGGAGCGCCUACGUUUGAAUAAUUUAUGCAUUUAUGUAAGGCCCUAUACAGCGUCCAAUACCAUUCUUAUGGCAAUAUACUUUGGCGACGAGUACCUUGAACAUGCACGUGUUGCUUUCCCACAUGUAUCGCGCCACGUAUUAUAGGAUGUAAACGAAGCUUUACAUUGUUGGUAAUCCUAUCGUCAUUGUCAGCUAUUUUCGAUAGCACGAAGGUCCCGUCUUGCGACGUCUGCGUCACCAUGACAGUCAACGACAAUGCGUAUACGUAUAGUCAUAACGACGACGGUUGCCCCAGAUACUGGUAGUUUAUCGGUGGUAUACAUAAAUAUACAGGUCUGUCAAAAAAAAAUUUCUUAAAUGUCCCCUAAAUUAUUCACAGUAUCGAUUACGGAAUAUGGUUGGACGUAUUUAAAGAACAUGCGCCUACCCGAACGCUGAUGAUCUUCCCUUUUGUAUAUAUAGACAUAAUAUAAAUAGCGGAAGUCUUGCGAUCCUUUCACAGGAAAUUUCAAUACUAAUGACAUAACGAUAAUAUACAUAGUGCCGAUAAUAUGAAUAGCCCCGAUAGAACCAACAAUGGCACUCUCCUGAGAGACAGAAGAGGUUUGCCUUGGAUCCAGUAGGGGGGUAAGGCAGAAGGUCGACGAGUGAAAUGAAGAAGAAUGCAAAUGCUAAUAAGAGAAGGACGGAAGGAGAAGGCACAAGGAAAAAGAAGAGUAUGCGGCAUCGCCGUGUAAACCAGUAUACCCGGAAGUGAUACAGGAAGUCGAAUUAAAAAAAGUCUGCAGGAAAUAACUGCCUGUAGUCACCAGGGUGAAGGAAAUUAAGUGACAGCAAAUAAUCCUCGUGUGUAUAUAUCUAUAUUUCGCAAGCUAUACCAAUGCUCCUGAACCGUGCACGUUAGUCGAGUUAGUCGUUAGUCGUAAAGCGUGACAUGUGCGCGAAAGAGAGAUAUCCUGGGAAAAUGGAUAUUCUUGAAGCGUAAGAAAGUGGCCAAGCUGUAUUUGUCUAGUGAAAUGUGAAAGUUCAGCGUUGUCUGAUACUUUAUCAUCCUGGUAAUAAGAAAAAGACUCGACACGUUCCUUAUCCUACGUAGAACACGUCAAAGGAAUCGGUCUAGAGACGAAUAGCUGUAAUUUGGCAAACUCCGUUGGAACGAAAAAUUGAGAAAUUCCACGAAUAUUUAACUCUUUUAAUGCCGACCUAAUGGAUUGUACCUAAGUGAGAAAACCAAAGAAAUUAGAUGUAAUUUAGAAAGGUUUGAGAGAAAAAUCAUUUUAAAAAAGUAAGAAUGAUAUUUACAAAAUUCAAAAAAGGAAGAUAUUACGAAAUAAGGGGAAAAUCCUUAAAGUUUUUCUAAAUUUAUUUUGUGCCAGUUUUUUUGCGAUACGAAUAGUAAGGCGCCAUCGCAUAAGCAACAAUAUAUCGUUGUUCGGCACACCAAGGAUUAAACCAGCGAAAAAAAAACCUUUUCUUUUUUUCACGUAAAACGACCAAACUCUACCAUUUUCCUUUUCCGACUCGGCUUUUCCCUAUUAAAGAAAAUUCCUUUCCUUAUUUUCUCUACCUCUUUUACCCCAAGAGAGAAAAAGAAAAAUUUUUUUUUUUCACAAGACCAAACUACCCGGAGUGUCCUUUGACGUCGUACAGUCAAUUCCAGCCACUUGACACGAGGGACUGAAAUCAAUUCGUCGGAUGUGACGUAAAAAUUCCAUCCGUCUCGCUCUCCAACAUUUUGUCGAAUCUCGCUAAUUGCCAGGGUUAUUUCAAUUGAUAAGUAUCCCUCUUCAAAGCUUUCAAAUGAAAUAUCGUUUAUCGCGAUAACCGCUAUAGCGAUAAGAAAAGAAAAAAAGAAAAAGGAACAAAGAGGCAUAAUAGCGAGUCCACGGGUUUACUCAAUAAAGUGGACUCGUAUUACCCGAUGGUUUCCAUGAUAAUAUCUAGCUUUGCGACGACGAUCGAUCGAUCGAUCAAUCAAUUUACAAGUAAUUAAGAAAAGAUCGGCAGCCUGCUAUACGGCUAAGGUGCCAUUAAAUUUAAACAUAAAGUGUGUAUGACAUAAAUCAUGCUUGAAGCUGCAAGACGCAUAGGUUUUGCGUCAAUGUUAUCUUUAUCGAAGAAUUAUGGCGCCGUCUUUCGGCGCGGAUAUUAAUUUAUUAUACCAUUAUUUAUGUUAUAAUAAAUAACUAACAAUAUACAACAACAAUAUACAAAUAACCAUUCCGUUUAAUGUUAUACAAUAUUAUUAUUGUAUUACGUAAAUCUCUACCUUAGACAUUGUUUAUCUUGGAUCCCUCUCUUUCGACUAUUCGCCUCCGUCUUUCAAUCUUAUUUCCUCCCUCGCUCUCCCUUCCCAACCCGUCACGUUUACCGUCACGCGGUGAAUCCCCAAGUCACAAGAAAAAAGAAUUACCACCUAAGAGCCGAACCCUCGUUCGACCUGCGAUUCUCGAGAAAAGAACAAAUUUCAAGGUAUAUCCGGACAAUGAAUUAAUGUUAAUCCGGGCCUCGGCAUUAGCAAUCCAGAUACAAAGGAAAUCGAUGAACAAAUGAAAUCACGUCUAUCCCAAUUCCCGAAUCUAUUUCUAAUCCGUUUCAACAUUUUGCCCGACGCUCUAUUUUAGCGAGUUACCCAUAAAAUCGCGCGAACGAUGGUCCGCACUCCGAACUUCGUGUUUAUUCCGAUUUUGAAUAAACAUCGUGCCGGGUGAAAGCAAAAAAAAAAGGAAAGAUAAUCACCAACGACAACGAACCAUACAAGUUACAAACGUACGGACGUAAAGUAUCCAAAUAGAUUAAUUUUUCUUCUGACGUUAUACCAACAUCUAGACUAUAUAGCCAGACUGUUAUCCCUGUACAAAGCUAUGACGAGGUGUUAAGUCUCGAAGAAAAAAAUCUGACUUUUACGGCUCUCUUUUGAUAGGAUAAGAAACGAUGCUUAUGUGGAAUAGUGUCGUUGCCACAACGACGAACGGUAUUUGUAGAUAAGAAAUUUAAUGUUAUUUUAUUACGACGGGGUUACGUUCUCCGUGCACCUCGUUAAAGAGCUCGUGCUCUUGAGUAACAAUGACGUACGUAUAUCGUAACAGCAGAGAAACUUUGCGCUUCCGAACGAAGUUCCCACGUAGAUUAUUUAUAUCCGUGCGCACCGCAUUGAAAUCAAUUGGCAAUAGCAAACGGUUUCGAGUGUAAUGAUAAAAUCCUGUUUACGUGUCGUUUACUGGCAAUUGCAAACAAGGCUGCGCCGUCGCCAUGCCUCAAUAAAACCAAGUGCAGGUAUUAAGUAGGAUAGGGGAAGAGAGUAAAUAAACUCGAGUGCGCCUGUCGCAUGCAUUAACCUUACGCCAGUUGCGAUCAGAGACGCGUAAAUAGCCACAUAAUCGGAGAGUUGCAAGUCGGCAUUUGAUAACAGUUUGUAUGAUUUAUUGCUACUCUUACUUGAGACGUAAGAAACAAUAACGAAUUGUAUUCGUUGCCGCAGGGUGAAGGAUCGGACGAGUAUGCGCUAUAAAAAAUGAAUUAAAAAAGCCGCACGAAGUCUAGUGCUGUUCCGCAAAAAGGUAAGCGUCCUUCGUUAAUGACUCAUAAAGCACAGCUAUAUAGACUACGUAGAUAUGUAUAGUUCAGUUUCUCUCCAAACAUAUAUAGUUUGAAUGAGACUGUAACUACGUGGACGUGGGAAUCCUCUGGCGCCAAGUAUCCGCGAUGUGUGACACAUAUGUACGUGUAUGUACGUAUUGCGCGUGCACAAAUGUAUACACUACCGCUACACGGGGGAUUUCACAUUUUACUUAUAUAUGUGUGUAUAUAUAUAUAUAUGUAUGUGUGUAUAUGAAGAAUUUCUAAAUUCUUCUGGUAUCCGUAACGUACCGCGACAUUUGAGAAUUUCGUGGUAAUUCGAGAGGUGUCGAAAAAACAAGUUUAAUGCCCAGAAAAAUGUACUGUCUACUAGCAGGAGCGCCGACAUGCAGAAGUAAUGGGGAAAUAAAAACCAAAUUCCACCGGCACAAACGCGAGGGCGUGUAAAAGUUUCCAAUAAAAGAAAUCCAAGUCAGUUCCUCCAUUGGGGGAGAGAGAGAGAGAGAGAGAGAGAGAGAGAGAGAGAGAGAGAGAGAGAGAGAAAAAAACAAGGAAUUUCAACAUUUCGGUGAAUU